rnacentral:rRNA from 1 species
UAGGGAAUCUUCCGCAAUGGGCGAAAGCCUGACGGAGCAACGCCGCGUGAGUGAUGAAGGUCUUCGGAUCGUAAAACUCUGUUAUUAGGGAAGAACAAAUGUGUAAGUAACUAUGCACGUCUUGACGGUACCUAAUCAGAAAGCCACGGCUAACUACGUGCCAGCAGCCGCGGUAAUACGAAGGGGGCUAGCGUUGUUCGGAUUUACUGGGCGUAAAGCGCACGUAGGCGGACUUUUAAGUCAGGGGUGAAAUCCCGGGGCUCAACCCCGGAACUGCCUUUGAUACUGGAAGUCUUGAGUAUGGUAGAGGUGAGUGGAAUUCCGAGUGUAGAAGUGAAAUUCGUAGAUAUUCGGAGGAACACCAGUGGCGAAGGCGGCUCACUGGACCAUUACUGACGCUGAGGUGCGAAAGCGUGGGGAGCAAACAGG